UACAGAGGGUGCAAGCGUUGUUCGGAAUUAUUGGGCGUAAAGGGAGUGUAGGCGGUUCAUUAAGUCUUCUGUGAAAUCUCCGGGCUUAACUCGGAACGGCCAAGUGAAACUGUCAAGCUAGAGUGCAGAAGGGGCAAUCGGAAUUCUUGGUGUAGCGGUGAAAUGCGUAGAUAUCAAGAGGAACACCUGAGGUGAAGACGGGUUGCUGGGCUGACACUGACGCUGAGGCGCGAAAGCCAGGGGAGCAAACGGG
rnacentral:rRNA from 1 species